UGGAGAAAGCAGGCCCUGAGAUGGA
rnacentral:piRNA from 1 species